rnacentral:rRNA from 1 species
GACGAACGCUGGCGGCGUGCUUAACACAUGCAAGUCGAACGGAAAGGCCCUGCUUUUGUGGGGUGCUCGAGUGGCGAACGGGUGAGUAACACGUGAGUAACCUGCCCUUGACUUUGGGAUAACUUCAGGAAACUGGGGCUAAUAACGGAUAGGAGCUCCUGCUGCAUGGUGUGGGUUGGAAAGUUUCGGCGGUUGGGGAUGGACUCGCGGCUUAUCAGCUUGUUGGUGGGGUAGUGGCUUACCAAGGCUUUGACGGGUAGCCGGCCUGAGAGGGUGACCGGCCACAGUGGGACUGAGAUACGGGCCAGACGCCUACGGGAGGCAGCAGUGGGGAAUAUUGCACGAUGGGCGGAAGCCUGAAGCAGCAACGCCGCGUGCGGGAUGACGGCCUUCGGGUUGUAAACCGCUUUCGCCUGUGACGAAGCGUGAGUGACGGUAAUGGGUAAAGAAGCACCGGCUAACUACGUG